GGGGAAUAUUGCACAAUGGGCGAAAGCCUGAUGCAGCGACGCCGCGUGAGGGAUGAAGGCCUUCGGGUUGUAAACCUUUUUCGCCCCUGAACAAGGCACCAUUUUGGUGGUGUUGAGGGUAGGGGGUAAAGAAGCUCCGGCUAACUACGUGCCAGCAGCCGCGGUAAUACGUAGGGAGCGAGCGUUGUCCGGAAUUAUUGGGCGUAAAGGGCUUGUAGGUGGCUUGUCGCGUCUGCCGUGAAAGGCUUCAGCUUAACUGGAGUAGUGCGGUGGGUACGGGCUGGCUUGAGUGUGGUAGGGGAGACUGGAAUUCCUGGUGUAGCGGUGGAAUGCGCAGAUAUCAGGAGGAACACCGGUGGCGAAGGCGGGUCUCUGGGCCAUUACUGACACUGAGGAGCGAAAGCGUGGGGAGCGAACA
rnacentral:rRNA from 1 species